rnacentral:rRNA from 1 species
CACUAGGUGUAGGAGGCUUCGACCCCUUCUGCGCCGCCGCUAACGCAUUAAGUGUUCCGCCUGGGGAGUACGGCCGCAAGGUUGAAACUCAAAGAAAUUGACGGGGCCCCGCACAAGCAGUGGAGCAUGUGGUUUAAUUCGAUGCUACGCGAAGAACCUUACCAAGACUUGACUUCCCGAUGUAAGCCUUUAGAAAUAUUGGCCCCCUUCGGGCAUCGGUGACAGGUGGUGCAUGGUUGUCGUCAGCUCGUGCCGUGAGGUGUUGGAUUAAGUUCCGCAACGAGCGCAACCCUCGUCGUUAGUUGCCAGCAUUAAGUUGGGCACUCUAGCGAGACCGCCGGCGUCAAGCCGGAGGAAGGUGGGGAUGACGUCAAAUCAUCAUGCCCCUUACGUCUUGGGCUACACACGUGCUACAAUGGCCAGUACAACGGGCUGCCACGGCGCGAGCCGGAGCGAAUCCUCAAAGCUGGUCUCAGUUCGGAUUGUAGGCUGCAACUCGCCUGCAUGAAGCUGGAAUUGCUAGUAACCGUGGAUCAGCAUGCCGCGGUGAAUACGUACUCGGGGC